AAGGAUUUAAGUUAAACAAAAACUACCAACCUUCAAAGUUGUAAAUAAAGCUCAACUUUAAGCCUUA
rnacentral:tRNA from 1 species